CGUGGCUAACCUUGCCUGUAAGACUGGGAUAACUCCGGGAAACCGGAGCUAAUACCGGAUAGUUCCUUGAACCGCAUGGUUCAAGGAUGAAAGACGGUUUCGGCUGUCACUUACAGAUGGACCCGCGGCGCAUUAGCUAGUUGGUGAGGUAACGGCUCACCAAGGCGACGAUGCGUAGCCGACCUGAGAGGGUGAUCGGCCACACUGGGACUGAGACACGGCCCAGACUCCUACGGGAGGCAGCAGUAGGGAAUCUUCCGCAAUGGACGAAAGUCUGACGGAGCAACGCCGCGUGAGUGAUGAAGGUUUUCGGAUCGUAAAGCUCUGUUGUUAGGGAAGAACAAGUGCAAGAGUAACUGCUUGCACCUUGACGGUACCUAACCAGAAAGCCACGGCUAACUACGUGCCAGCAGCCGCGGUAAUACGUAGGUGGCAAGCGUUGUCCGGAAUUAUUGGGCGUAAAGGGCUCGCAGGCGGUUUCUUAAGUCUGAUGUGAAAGCCCCCGGCUCAACCGGGGAGGGUCAUUGGAAACUGGGAAACUUGAGUGCAGAAGAGGAGAGUGGAAUUCCACGUGUAGCGGUGAAAUGCGUAGAGAUGUGGAGGAACACCAGUGGCGAAGGCGACUCUCUGGUCUGUAACUGACGCUGAGGAGCGAAAGCGUGGGGAGCGAACAGGAUUAGAUACCCUGGUAGUCCACGCCGUAAACG
rnacentral:rRNA from 1 species